CUGGAAGGGAGACCCGUAAGCACCCAGAGGGAAGCGCCUGGCUUAGAGGAGCUCCCGUCGGAGUGGCUCAGGGGACAAAGGAGUUGACACGCGCGCUCUACAGGUGGUCUGGAGUGGCCGUGGGACAGCCAGCCCGCCUUUGCACCUCGCACCAGCCUACCCGGGUGGCCAGACCCGAGGUGCUGGAGGGGUGGGAAGAGAGCCGCGGCCUCACCUGCGCUAGAUCCAGGACACCAACUCGAGACGCCCCUGAACCCCCCCACGGAACACGUGCUGGCCAACUUCACCGUGCUUGCCUGGCACGCCCGGGGUGGAUCCCCAACCAGGAGAAAUGUAUUUGAGCAGACUGCGCCGCCCCCCACGUUAAGGGGGCGGAGGAAGAAGGGACUUGGGAGGGGCAGGGGUCGUCUACGUCUUCUGCCACUCUGUACUGGUUUCUAAAAACGACUCGCGUCUCAGAGCAUUUCAGAGCCCAGCAAACAGCCCCAAAGAGUUGAGCCAGAAGUUUGAGGAAGUUCUCCGAGUCACUGCCCAAGUCUUUGAGCUGCUUCUGAGUAACAGGGACUUUUCUGCUCCAUAGCCCUGGAGAAAAAUUUCCCCAAAGCCGUCAGAAGUUACUGAGGUGGAACCAGAAAUCCAGAGAUCGGAGUAAGGCUGGAUCAGCGAGAUGGUUCACCUGGUUCUUGCUUCCGAGCCGAAGACCUGGAUUUCAUUCCUGAGCCCCACGUGGUGGAAGGAGAGAACCUCCUACCAGCUGUCCUCUGAGCUACACGCACAUACACAGAGUCAAUCAGUAAAUGUUCUUUAAUGAAAAGGGAAAAAUGAGGUUUUUCAAUAAACCUGACAGCCUUUCA